rnacentral:rRNA from 2 species
ACCUGCCUGUAAGACUGGGAUAACUCCGGGAAACCGGGGCUAAUACCGGAUGGUUGUCUGAACCGCAUGGUUCAGACAUAAAAGGUGGCUUCGGCUACCACUUACAGAUGGACCCGCGGCGCAUUAGCUAGUUGGUGAGGUAACGGCUCACCAAGGCGACGAUGCGUAGCCGACCUGAGAGGGUGAUCGGCCACACUGGGACUGAGACACGGCCCAGACUCCUACGGGAGGCAGCAGUAGGGAAUCUUCCGCAAUGGACGAAAGUCUGACGGAGCAACGCCGCGUGAGUGAUGAAGGUUUUCGGAUCGUAAAGCUCUGUUGUUAGGGAAGAACAAGUGCCGUUCAAAUAGGGCGGCACCUUGACGGUACCUAACCAGAAAGCCACGGCUAACUACGUGCCAGCAGCCGCGGUAAUACGUAGGUGGCAAGCGUUGUCCGGAAUUAUUGGGCGUAAAGGGCUCGCAGGCGGUUUCUUAAGUCUGAUGUGAAAGCCCCCGGCUCAACCGGGGAGGGUCAUUGGAAACUGGGGAACUUGAGUGCAGAAGAGGAGAGUGGAAUUCCACGUGUAGCGGUAAAAUGCGUAGAGAUGUGGAGGAACA